AUUGAACGCUGGCGGCAGGCUUAACACAUGCAAGUCGAGCGGAGAUGAGGUGCUUGCACCUUAUCUUAGCGGCGGACGGGUGAGUAAUGCUUAGGAAUCUGCCUAUUAGUGGGGGACAACAUUCCGAAAGGAAUGCUAAUACCGCAUACGUCCUACGGGAGAAAGCAGGGGAUCUUCGGACCUCGCGCUAAUAGAUGAGCCUAAGUCGGAUUAGCUAGUUGGUGGGGUAAAGGCCUACCAAGGCGACGAUCUGUAGCGGGUCUGAGAGGAUGAUCCGCCACACUGGGACUGAGACACGGCCCAGACUCCUACGGGAGGCAGCAGUGGGGAAUAUUGGACAACGGGGGGAACCCUGAUCCAGCCAUGCCGCGUGUGUGAAGAAGGCCUUAUGGUUGUAAAGCACUUUAAGCGAGGAGGAGGCUACUGAGACUAAUACUCUUGGAUAGUGGACGUUACUCGCAGAAUAAGCACCGGCUAACUCUGUGCCAGCCGCCGCGGUAACAC
rnacentral:rRNA from 1 species